ACAGAGAGGAGCAAAACUUAUCUGACCUACUUUCCCCGACCUGUGAAGUAGCUAAUAGUACAGAACAGAACACUCAGGAGCAUGCUCUAAAGAACGGUGACAUUUGUGAAACUCCAGAUAAGCCAAAAGGCACAGCCAGAAGAAAACCUGCCAAGAGGAAUAAAAGCCAAAAGAAGAAUGCCACAACUCCCUUGAAACAGUGGAAAGUUGGUGACAAGUGUUCUGCUGUUUGGUCAGAAGACGGCUGCAUUUACCCAGCUACUAUUACGUCCAUUGACUUUAAGAGAGA
rnacentral:sRNA from 1 species